rnacentral:rRNA from 1 species
GAAUAUUGGACAAUGGGGGGAACCCUGAUCCAGCCAUGCCGCGUGUGUGAAGAAGGCCUUUUGGUUGUAAAGCACUUUAAGCGAGGAGGAGGCUACUCUAGUUAAUACCUAGGGAUAGUGGACGUUACUCCUAGAAAACGCACCGGCUAACCCUGUCCCAGCAGCCGCGGGAAUACAGCGGGGGCAAGCGUUAAUCGGAUUUACUGGGCGUAAAGCGCGCGUAGGUGGCCAAUUAAGUCAAAUGUGAAAUCCCCGAGCUUAACUUGGGAAUAGCAUUCGAUACCGGUUGGCUAGAGUAUGGGAGAGGAUGGUAGAAUUCCAGGUGUAGCGGUGAAAUGCGUAGAGAUCUGGAGGAAUACCGAUGGCGAAGGCAGCCAUCUGGCCUAAUACUGACACUGAGGUGCGAAAGCAUGGGGAGCAAACAG